CCUACGGGUGGCAGCAGUGAGGAAUAUUGGUCAAUGGGCGGAAGCCUGAACCAGCCAAGUAGCGUGCAGGAUGACGGCCCUACGGGUUGUAAACUUCUUUUAUACGGGAAUAAAGUGUCUUACGUGUAGGGUUUUGCAUGUACCGUAUGAAUAAGGACCGGCUAAUUCCGUGCCAGCAGCCGCGGUAAUACGGAGGGUCCGGGCGUUAUCCGGAUUUAUUGGGUUUAAGGGGAGCGUAGGUCGGAUGUUAAGCGUGCUGUGAAAUGUCCGGGCUCAACCCGGGGCUUGCAGUGGAAACUGGCGUGCUUGAGUCCGCGGAAGGCAGGCGGAAUUCGUGGUGUAGCGGUGAAAUGCUUAGAUAUGACGAAGAACCCCGAUUGCGAAGGCAGCUUGCUGCAGCGGAACUGACGCUGAUGCUCGAAAGCGCGGGUAUCGAACAGGAUUAGAUACCCGGGUAGUC
rnacentral:rRNA from 1 species